rnacentral:rRNA from 1 species
UACAGAGGGUGCAAGCGUUGUUCGGAAUUACUGGGCGUAAAGCGCGUGUAGGCGGUUUAAUAAGUCAGAUGUGAAAUCCCUUAGCAUAACUGAGGAACUGCAUCUGAUACUGUUAAACUUGAGUGUCGGAGGGGAUGGCGGAAUUCCUGGUGUAGAGGUGAAAUUCGUAGAUAUCAGGAGGAACACCUGUGGCGAAGGCGGCCAUCUGGAAGACAACUGACGCUGAGACGCGAAAGCGUGGGGAGCAAACAGG